rnacentral:tRNA from 2 species
GCGCUAGUAGCUCAGUUGGUAGAGCACAUCACUGAUACUGAUGGGGUCCCAGGUUCGAAUCCUGGCUGGCGCA